GACGAACGCUGGCGGCAUGCCUAAUACAUGCAAGUCGAGCGAACAGAUGAGGUGCUUGCACUUCUGACGUUAGCGGCGAACGGGUGAGUAACACGUAAGGAAUCUACCUAUAAGCGGGGGAUAACAUUCGGAAACGGGUGCUAAUACCGCAUAAUAUCUUCUUCCGCAUGGAAGAAGAUUGAAAGACGGCUCUGCUGUCACUUAUAGAUGACCUUGCGGUGCAUUAGCUAGUUGGUGGGGUAACGGCCUACCAAGACGAUGAUGCAUAGCCGACCUGAGAGGGUGAUCGGCCACAUUGGGACUGAGACACGGCCCAAACUCCUACGGGAGGCAGCAGUAGGGAAUCUUCCGCAAUGGGCGAAAGCCUGACGGAGCAAUGCCGCGUGAGUGAAGAAGGCCUUCGGGUCGUAAAACUCUGUUAUAAGAGAAGAACAAAUUGUAGAGUAACUGCUACAGUCUUGACGGUAUCUUAUCAGAAAGCCACGGCUAACUACGUGCCAGCCGCCGCCGUAA
rnacentral:rRNA from 1 species